UAACCUUGAAAAAUACAAAGAAGCAAAUGUAUAUACUACUACUAUAUUUCAUUUCUUCUUUGGUUCGAUUAAAAUUCCUUACCAAACAACACUCUCAUCUCAUCUAAUCUUCCUCAGGGAAUCCAAAUUAGAGAUGGAGGAAUUCAACGAGUUUGAUUAUUCACUUAUCAUAAAAAUGUUUCUGUAUUCUCAUCUUGUGUGAAGCAUUUGUUUGUUGUGGUUGCUAAUAUUGUAUACUCUUUGAAGUCUGCAACCCAAUUAUCCAUUACUGACUGGGUUAUGAAGGGGUUUUAUAUACAGAAGAUUGUGGUAAGAAGACUGUGUGAUAGAUUAUUUGAGGUGAUUUCUAUUCUUUAAUUUUCAUUUUAAUCAAGUUUGGAACAGAUUCAGUUAGUAUCCUAAAUGUUUGAUAAAAUGCAAUUCCAUCUGUACAGGUUAUUUUGUUGUGUUGGGUUGAUAUAAAAAUUGAAUUUCUAUAAAAGAUAGAUAAUGAACUUGAAUUUAUGAUAUUUUAUAAUGAGGUGUAUGUAGUGCUGUCUCAAUGGCUAUUUGGGUAUCAAUUUUGUUCCUAAUUGAAGCUGAAUGACUCUAAUGAUGAGGAUGAGCAAAUGGAGAUAACCUGGAAAUGAGCAGCUAUCACUAACGAGUUCGAUUUCGGAUUCGUUGGUCCAAAUGGCCUUAACUGGUUUUGUGGCUGUGGGAGCAGUAAAGAGUAUCUGCACAUGUGGUAUGAAUUUUAGAUUCACCCCAGGUGGAUGUUGGGUCGUUUCCAGUGAAGGCACAACACUGUCAAGGUUGGUUAAAUAUUCCUCAAUUAUUGCACUCUGAAGUUUAAUUCUUUUGCUUCUCUAAGUGGAUAAUAUGUUGGUUAAAUUUCUGAAUUUUCAGUCCUAUGAGGUGAACUUGUUCCCUCAAGAGAAAUAUGCUAGUAGAACUGUAAAUAAUUUGUUCUUCUGGAUCUAGUUAUUUGUCUAUUCGGUCUUCGAUAUGAAUCUUCUUCUGAAAAUGUGCUGUCAAUAUUUCUUGCAAUCACUGUUUCAUUAGUUUUCAAUUGCGUCUUAUUGUGUUUCCUUUCUAUGGAUAUACCAUCUUAUUCUAAGCCAUCACUCGCACACAUGUUCUAGGGGAUAAAUGUUAAUGUCAAGAGUAAUAUCUCUCUGUUCUUUUUUGUUGGAAACAAAGACUUGUAUAUGUAGCGUGUACGUGGAUCGUCCAAUUUCUCUUGAUUGUUUAGCAAAGGGAAUUCAGGGGUUCCCAAUAAAGAGAUGACUACUUAGAGAUAACUAUUUCAUGGUAUUAGAUCUCAAUCAAGCUCUACAGUGUUUCAUAUUUAAGGGUAGCAAAAUGUAUGAACACCUUAGAGUAAGAUGUCUAAAUUAUCAUGGCAUGAACUAUCUGACGAAAAUGCUCAAAUUAAAAUGGUACCGACAUUGCCUCCUUAAAUGGCGAGCUGUUUUUAGCGUCAAGGAGUUCAACAUGGAACAAACUUGUCUAGCAGUUUCUUAAAUGAAAUUCAUAAUCCAACAAAAGACAACCCACUAAUAAAAGAAACACAAAAUACUGAAAGAAGCUGUAACACAGCAGUAUGGACCAGUAGAGAAUGAGGUCACUAACACUGCAGCAAUGAUCCAACCGAAGUAAACAAUUCUGCUUCCCAUCUUGAAGAGACCUGGUGGAUAUGUUGUUGCUCCUUCAUGAACACUCAAAGCUUCAGCAAACCAGAAACACCCGCGAAACUCAACGGAUUUGAGAUGCAGCAACAAACAGUCAGGAAUCGAAUCUAGCCACCGACCGUAAGAUGGGUAUGCUUCAUAGUCGCAAAAUCCAUCAACAAAGAUAAGUGACUCCAGAUUUGGUGAGACAUGGAGAAACUUGAGUAGUGUUUCAACUUUCAACAGUCCGACACGGUAGAAUAACCUCAUCAUGAAAUCCAUAUCCAAUAUGUGAAGCUGCAGUCAUUACUUCCAAAUGAAUCAAGUUAUAAAAUUGAGACAAACUCUUCAGGAAGUGAUCUUGG